rnacentral:lncRNA from 1 species
CACACUCACUGCUUGGCUCAUUGUUUUUCGCUGCUUUGUUUAUUUGGUCAACAAAUUGCCAUCUUAACUUCUUUUCUUAAGGCCUCUAUUCCUUCUAGCAUGGGUUCAUAUGACUGUAUAUCAUCAAGGAUCGUCGACUUCUUUCUUACUGCACAUGAGGGGCCUUUUUCUAACGUUUGCACUGCAUACAGUGGCAGGCAAAUAUUACCCAAAGCGGUAACCACCUCUUCUAAAGGCAAUUUAUUAGGUCUUCUAAAUUUCUUCUGUUUUACUAGGAGCCAUUUUAUUUUCUUAAUAUGCUUAAGUCUAAGCUCUUUCGUUAGGCUGUCUGCAAGGUCCCUGGCUUGCUUGAUUUUUUGAUUGAUGGUUC